CUUCUCACUCUGCUUCCCCACCUUCCUCUUUCAUUUCAUCGACCUCCAUUGCCACCCAUUCCACCCAAAUCUCCAUUGAUCACCUUCCUACCCCUAUUCCACUCAAACAUCUCAUCCUCAACCAAGCAAUUCAUUAUGACUGUUUGGUUUCAAGAUCUUAUAAAUACUGUCUGAAGAUAAAAAGCUCUUUUGUGAUGUAAGAGAUAAAAU
rnacentral:lncRNA from 1 species